UGGGGAAUCUUGCGCAAUGGGCGAAAGCCUGACGCAGCAACGCCGCGUGGGGGAAGAAGGCUCUCGGGUCGUAAACCCCUUUCAGCAGGGACGAAAAUGACGGUACCUGCAGAAGAAGGACCGGCCAACUACGUGCCAGCAGCCGCGGUAAUACGUAGGGUCCGAGCGUUGUCCGGAUUUAUUGGGCGUAAAGAGCUCGUAGGCGGUUUGGUAAGUCGGGUGUGAAAACUCAGGGCUCAACCCUGAGACGCCACUCGAUACUGCCAUGACUAGAGUCCGGUAGGGGAAUGUGGAAUUCCUGGUGUAGCGGUGAAAUGCGCAGAUAUCAGGAGGAACACCAACAGCGAAGGCAGCAUUCUGGGCCGGUACUGACGCUGAGGAGCGAAAGCAUGGGGAGCAAACAGG
rnacentral:rRNA from 1 species